rnacentral:rRNA from 1 species
UGCAGCUAACGCAUUAAACAUUCCGCCUGGGGAGUACGGUCGCAAGAUUAAAACUCAAAGGAAUAGACGGGGACCCGCACAAGUGGUGGAGCAUGUGGUUUAAUUCGAAGAUACGCGAAGAACCUUACCUGGCCUUGACAUCCCAAGAACCCUCCAGAGAUGGAGGGGUGCCCCUUUUGGGGAACUUGGUGACAGGUGCUGCACGGCUGUCGUCAGCUCGUGUCGUGAGAUGUUGGGUUAAGUCCCGCAACGAGCGCAACCCUCGUGUUUAGUUGCUAACAGUUCGGCUGAGCACUCUAGACAGACUGCCUCCGCAAGGAGGAGGAAGGUGAGGACGACGUCAAGUCAUCAUGGUCCUUACGGCCAGGGCGACACACGUGCUACAAUGGGUAGGACAAUGAGAGGCAAUACCGCGAGGUGGAGCAAAUCUAUAAACCUACUCUCAGUUCGGAUUGUAGUCUGCAACUCGACUACAUGAAGCUGGAAUCACUAGUAAUCGUAGAUCAGCCAUGCUACGGUGAAUACGUUCCCGGGUCUUGUACUCACCGCCCGUCACACCAUGGGAGUUGAGUUCACCCGAAGCGGGGAAGCUAAACUGGCUACCUGCCACGGUGGGCUCAGCGACUGGGGUGAAGUCGUAACAAGGUA